UGCAUUAAAACAAACCUAACUGUACACACUGCUUUGUCUUUGUCCAGCCUGCGGAUGGUUAAGGGCACAGGCGUAAGAAACGCUGACAACCAGGACAACCUCCAUUCUUACACCGGGAAAAGAAUCUUCAGCAGCUCAGGUCACAAGCUUGCCUGAUGAAGGAUGCAAGGAGCAUCAGACUUCUCCUUUGUCUUGAGACACUGCAAGAGAGGAGAUCCCACAUAGAAAUAAGAAACCCACCGAGAGGAGGAGCUUUAUACGGUUGACUGGAGGCCCUGCUGCCAACCCAUAUACUUGAUCCCCUUGUUUCAAAUGCAGGAUUGUUGGUUUUGACCCUAAGGUUAAGAAUGUGAGAGGAAACACCUUUAAGUACACCUUUAAGAGCCUCUUGGAUGCCAGGUGAUUUGCAAAUGGACCAACCUGAGACUCAGGCAUGAUGUUACUGUUUACUAUUUCCUGUAGAUGUUCCAUGUCUUAACUACUACAUUGAACACAUCAUAAGGCCU